UAACAAGGUUUCCGUAGGUGAACCUGCGGAAGGAUCAUUAAAGAGUUAGGGUCUUCUAGGCCCGAAUCUCCCAACCCCAUGUUUACUUAACCGACGUUGCUUCGGCGGGCCCGUUCUUUUCACGAGAACCGCCGGGGGACUGUAAUAGGUCCUUUGGUCCGUGCCUGCCGAUAGCCUCAUCAAACAAAUUCUUCAAGAAUCGUGUCUAUUGUCUAAGUACACCUUUUUCUAAAUGAAAAAAUAAAAAACUUUCAACAACGGAUCUCUUGGUUCUGGCAUCGAUGAAGAACGCAGCGAAAUGCGAUAAGUAAUGCGAAUUGCAGAAUUCCAGUGAGUCAUCGAAUCUUUGAACGCACAUUGCGCCCUUUGGUAUUCCGAAGGGCAUGCCUGUUCGAGCGUCAUUAUCACCCCUCAAGCCCCCUGGGUUUGGCCUUGGAUGGUUUGGUCUCUUGGGUUGUUAAACCUCCCCCGAGACCCCUCCUAAAGUGAAUGACGGCGGCUUGUCUGACCCCCGGUACAUUGAGCUUCUUUACUGAGCACGUAUCGGUUCAAGUGGUUGGCAGACCGACGGUCUUCCUCCCUUUCAUUAGGGAAAAACUCCUUUUUUACAAGGUUGACCUCGGAUC
rnacentral:misc_RNA from 1 species